GGAGGCUUGCAGCAUCCUGACUGUAAAGAAUAUUUAAAAGUGAAAAAGAGUAAUUAAAAGAUAAAGAUAAGAUAUAUUUGGGAAAAGCUGAUCGAAAACAAAAAGGGGGAAAAAAAGAUAAAUGGUGGGAAAAACGCUAAUCACAUGGUUGAAGAAUCUUAAUUAAGCUUUACCAUUUUAUGCUUAGAAAACGCUAAUCGGAGGCUAAUAAGGUCAUUCUAAUUAAGAAUGAUUCAAAGACAAGUAUGCUUGCUCAUAUAGAUGACAAAUUCACCAAAUAAACUUUGAAAAACGAGGUAUA
rnacentral:misc_RNA from 1 species